UCUGUAUGGGCAUUUUUCAUGACUUUAUUUUUGAAUAUUUCUGUGUGCAGGUGGUAGGGAAAACAUUGUUGCAUAUUACAAAUUCAGUGUUUUACUUUGAGGUUGGAGACUAGACAUGAGACUUUGACAGUUGGCGGGAAACCAUCAUCAACCGGAGAGAAACCGGCAUAUAGUGUUACUCCAGCGAGGAUGAACACAGUUGUGGCCUUGGCUCAUGAAGACAUGAGAAAGCGUCUCAACAUUGUACAGGUUGCCAGUGACAGUUAGAUAUUGGUGUUGGGCCUCAACCAGAUGCAGUGCACAAAGUCAUGUAUAGUAUAUUCUGAUCUCAGAGACCAAUGAGAAGAAACAGCUGAGACCCUUGAUAGCAGCAUUCCAGGUGACCAGAGAUUGUUGCCAAGGCCAAGUGAUUGGGCAACAACCUUGAAGUUGCUAUAGUGAUUGUGCAACAGACUCAUGAUUGGGGCAGUAAUUGUGCUACAGACUCAUGUUUGAUAUUAACACCUAUUUGCAUACUGUACUGUCUGUACUUGAAGAUUUCAUUAUUUAGGGCCUGUUAAAAUUGUCAUGAAAUAAUAAACUGAAAUGCUAUUUA